CUCAUGGCUGCCUCAAAGCCAGUUUUUCCGAGUAAGGAAAUGAAAAAGGAUGCCAUCAUCAGAUCAAACUUUUAGAUAUGACCCUGAAGAAGAAAGCAGAUGAGAACGUCUGACCGUGAAAUACGAGCUGAGAAAAAUUCACAGCCUAGAGCACACCAGAGCAAGCAGCUGAAGGAUCUCAUUCUGCCACCUAGACUGGAGUGCAGUGGAGCAAUCACAGCUCACUGCAGCCUCAAUCUCCCACGCUUAAGCAAUUCUCCCACGUCAGCUCCCUGUAGCUGAGACUAUUGGCCCACGCCACCACACUUGGCUAAUUUUUGUAUUUUUAGUAGAGACAGGGUUUUGCCAUGUUGCCCAGGCUGGUUUCAAACUCCUGAGUUUAAGCAAUACACCCACUUCGGGAUUUACAGAUGUGAGCCACCAUGCCUGGCCUGUAAUUUUUAAAUGCAAAGUAUACGGUGUUUUCCAGGGUAAGAGGGAAGUGAUACUGGCUGUUGGGACUGACCCACAGUAACUGGAAAAAUUAAAUAGAAGCCUCAGUUUCGUCAUCUGCAAAGUGAGAGAUAUAUUAACAUGUCUUUCACAGGCCUAAAUGUAAAAUGGUACAUGUAAAUCACUUAGCAUAGUUUCCCGCACACACCAAAUCCUCAAUGAAAUCUAAGUGUUUAUUGCUAUUGUUGUCGUUGUCAUUAUUAUUCAUUAUGUAUUGCUUGUGGGAGUAUGACUUUUUAUGAUUUUAGAGGGAAAUAAUUUGAAAUAUGAAUCAAGAAUCUUGAAAGUAUGCUUCCUUUGAAUAAUUCUGCUUCUAGAAAUUUAUAUUCAAGAAACAAUUUAUGACAUUUACAAAGAUUGAACAAGGCUGUUCAUUCUAGUAUUUUUUAUUACACUAAAAAUUGGAAACAAAUUGAAUCUCAUACAUUGGUGUGUUAAUAAGUUAGUCGUGGUAUCCAUAUAAUGGAAUGGUACUUAGCUUCUGAAAAGUAGGCCAUAGAUAAAAGAUUUCAAAAGUGUGUCCCAAAGGUGUUGCAGAUGUGCUCCAGAAACUAACUCCAUGAGGAAGGAAGAGGAGGCUAAGGGAUUGCAACUUCUUCCCUGAUUUCCCAAAGAGCAGCUAUACUUGGUUUGAAUUCAUAAUCAUAUUUUUAAUGUGUUGAUGUCCAAUGCUUUUAAUUUUUUAAGGUGCUGCUAUUUUUAAAAUGAACAAAAUUCUUAAAGAAGUUUUUUGUUUAGACAAAAAGAAGUUCAUGACUUGAUGAGUACAAAGGUAGUUCAAAAUGUGCUCCAAAACUUUAAGUAAUCAAUUUAAAAUUAUUUCAGUAUCUCCUGAGCUAACAUUAAAGAAAGAAAUCACAGCUCUAGAUGGUAUUUGAUGAGAGAAACCUAGAGAGAGAAUAAAAUUGCUCAUACAAAUACAUUAAAUUCUCAAAGACCUAAUCUAAAAGCAAUGAAUAAGACUGAAUUAGAGGAUGCUGUAUUUAUUAGAAAAUACACGCAAUAUAAACACAAUGGUCGGAGAACUCUACACUUCUGGAAGGUUCAUGGCUCUUCUUUUUCAGCUUUUAAGGCUUCUGUCUUUUAUAAAAAUCAUUUUUAUCCCUCCUAAAAAUUAUUUUUAAUAAAAGUAAAUAGUCCUCCAUGAAAUCUAGCUACUCACUUUGAUGUUUGCUUAAAUGUCUGUUAUAGAAAACUGUAUGUUAGAAUAUUUUGUAUCAAAAUGUGUUUUUUCAUUUCAAAUUAUAACUUAGGUUUGUUAUAGGAUAUUGACUUGUGAAAUUUAAUUCAUAGUCAAUGGUUUUACUCAUCUUGCUUUAGUUAACCUCACCAGUACAUAUAAACUAUGUAAAUUCACCGGCUAGUAUAAAACCUUUAUCAGAUUUCAGUCUAGAUGUUCUUUCCUCACAGUGACAAUAUAUAAAAUAUUGUUCAUAGCAGAUUAAUCUUUAAAAACAAAGAGAAAUUACAUCUUUCAUUGUAUGAUACCACUGUUAUAAAUUAAUAGAUUCAUGAAAUAUCUGGAAGAAUUUUACAGCAUAUUCUUAAUCAUGAUUAAUGUCCAAGUGAUAGCGUUAUUUAUAUUCUUUUUUCUUUUGCUUAUCUA
rnacentral:lncRNA from 10 species